rnacentral:sRNA from 1 species
GGGAGGUUCGACUCGAGCGAAGCGAGAGAACGUUGCGCCAGCAACGGCCCGCAGGGCGAGCCACGAAGUGGCGAGUAAUCCUCUGGCACCGACCA